rnacentral:rRNA from 1 species
AUGGUUUUGCUGCCUUUCUGGGAUAGGAGUUUAUGGCAUUAUGACAUGAUACAGAAGUAUUGCAGGCAUUCAGUCCUAUAUAUACCUACUACUAUUUUGAAAGAAACCCAACUCAAGCUUGGAUGUCUCCCUGGGCCUGCCUUUUAUGUUAAACAUGUAUGCUUUUUGACCAUAUUCUUAAUGUUAGUUUCAGGUGCAUAG